rnacentral:rRNA from 1 species
AUUGAACGCUGGCGGCAGGCUUAACACAUGCAAGUCGAGCGGAGCGAGGGUGCUUGCACCUUAGCUUAGCGGCGGACGGGUGAGUAAUGCUUAGGAAUCUGCCUAUUAGUGGGGGACAACAUUCCGAAAGGAAUGCUAAUACCGCAUACGCCCUACGGGGGAAAGCAGGGGAUCUUCGGACCUUGCGCUAAUAGAUGAGCCUAAGUCGGAUUAGCUAGUUGGUGGGGUAAAGGCCUACCAAGGCGACGAUCUGGAGCGGGUCUGAGAGGAUGAUCCGCCACACUGGGACUGAGACACGGCCCAGACUCCUACGGGAGGCAGCAGUGGGGAAUAUUGGACAAUGGGCGGAAGCCUGAUCCAGCCAUGCCGCGUGUGUGAAGAAGGCCUUUUGGUUGUAAAGCACUUUAAGCGAGGAGGAGGCUCUUAAGGUUAAUACCCUUGAUGAGUGGACGUUACUCGCGGAAUAAGCACCGGCUAACUCUGUGCCAGCCGCCGCCGUAACAC